UAAUUUGUUGCAGGUUUUCCGAUGUCCUUUAACUGUCUUGACCCCAUAAUCAGUGUUUGAGUAUUUUAUAUGAUGUGGGAUCAGGUUUUAGGAAUGGGGAAACCCUGGACACUGCUAUUUAUAGAUGUCAGCGGCUGUCCCAUUAGGCCCUUGCUCUUUCAAAAUGGACAGUGGAUCUCACCCAUUGUGGUAUAACUGUGAUCCUCCAGCUCCAUUUUUAUUUUUCUGUUCUGUGCAAAGAAACAGGGAGACAGAUUUAGUGAGUGGUCCUGGUGGUGAGAUAGGAUUGUAGAUUGCCGCUGUACGGCACUGCAGAUGCAAAGGAUUUGAUCACGUGCCUGACUUUUAUUGACUCAGUCGUCUACAAAAACCUAAUUUAGUUAUACCAGAAUUCAAUUAAAGCAGAAACGCUCAGAUGCACCAUUUAAAACAAAAGAAUUCCAGUGGAUGUAAAGUAACAUGACCAGUUUUCACCUGAAACCCUGCUCUGCUGGGUCUCCAUUCAGUUAUUUUUGGCCCCCGUCUGCCUCUGAAGGCUGCACUGCUUUUAUUUGGUAUCAGGACCAACUCGCUGUGUUCAUCCUGUAAAGUUUUCUUUCUGUAUGACACGAGUAGGAAUCUGUGCAUGAUCGUCUGUGUAGAAUAUUUCAAAGUAUGUUGUGUUUUAUACACUGUUUGCGUGGGUGUGUGUCCAGAAUUCCCUGCAGCCUACCCGUGUAUGUGUGCUGGGCUGUCGACAUGUCUGUGUCAGUCAUGAGGCUCUGCACGAAGCGUUGAUCUCGCAUGAUUGGGAAGAAAGGCAAACUGUCACUGAAAGGAGAGCCGGUCUGGAUGUUUGACCACUGAUUCCGAGAGCUACUACUGUUUUGCAGGUGAAAGCAAAAACUGCACUUAGCUUGUUUAAUUCAGUGAUUUCAGUGUUUUUUGUUUUUGAUUUACACUUUAAUGACGAACUGAUUUGAUCCUUAGUAAUUUUAGUUUGAUCUUUCAAAGUGAGCUCAAAGCACACAAAGCCCAACCCACAGGAUGGCCUCUUCUCGUGUGUUUAAAGUGUUUUGUGUCUGGUGUGGAGCUUGUUUCACUGCAGGGGGAGCAGCAGAGUUCAUUCGUUUCAGUUUGCAUAUUAAGGACACUGUAAAAGUGACUUUGACAGUGACUGUGGUAAUCUGUAUUAUGUUUACAUGUUGAUUAUGUUUGUUUGUGUAUAUGUGUUGGGGGGUGGGAGUGUCAAUGGAACUUCUAACAGGCUAGGAUGAUUAUCAGCAAGGUGAGCAUAAUGUGAUAGGUUCAUAUUGUGUCAUGUGACGAAGAGUUUGCAAAUGAUGGCGAUUCAGCACAUUUCUCUGCUGUCUGUGGGUUUGUCUGUGGAACGUAUCAGUGGCACGGAGCCGUUCCCCUCUGAGGAUCAGAGCGCUCUGGCCGAUCUGACGAGAGUCGGGGAGUUAAUAACUUUUUGUACAUCAUCAAACUUGAACAGUUUAGUGUCAAUGAGAUUAUCCGACCAUACUGGAUGUUGUUUAUACACACAGUCCAAACCUUUUGGUUCUUUCUGUUGCAUUAUCAAGAUAAUGGUGUUGGGAGAGAGAAUAGCCUGGAGCAGAAAUCAUUCUGUGGGCAGAUUUUUAACCACUGAUUAAUUUUUAGAGCAAGUGAGCACGUGAUUGUAAGCAUGUGUAAAGAUUUGAGCCCAAAAACUGUUCUGUCUGUGGACUGAAGCAAGAAACGAGUAGUUGGAUUUAUUUUAACUGUGUUCUCAGUUUUGGAUUUUUCUGUUUACAGAAAAACUGGAACUAGAGUAGAGUCCGUUUCAACAGCAUGUUUUCAUGUAUCCUUAUUAAAAAUCUACGUUAUAUAUCAACUAACAAAUGGUGACCAAUAUCAGUCAAAUGUGAGUACUGCCGCCUCACAAAUCUGCAAAAACGGUCUUUGGCAAAGACUGUAUUCCAAUUCCAAUUAACAAACUUACGUGGAUUUGACCUCAUGGGUCAUCUGAAAGCUAGCAUUCACCAAUAGGCAUCAAAGUGAGGUUGGUGCUGGCAAGGAGCAAGCUCAUUUUGCUAUGAUUGCAAACACAAAUGUUGUAGUUUCAUCAUUUGUAAACCCCCACAGAUGAUAACCGUGUUGAGAUUCCAGACCACAAAAUAUAAGUGUGCUCUACAACUUCUGUUCUCAUGCGGCAGUUUUGUUCUCGAUUGACCUCCACAGAUCGAACUGAGUAUACUGACCUGCUUAUGGUGUCCCACGCUUCGUCCCAAGUCCUGGGAUCGAUUAACAAAUGGAAUUAUGAUUUAGUCACUGAAGAGCUUCCCUACGCUUCUGACUCACAAGCAUCACAAGGAUCGACGAGCUUUUACUGUGAGGCAUAUAGAUGAUUUAAACAUGUGACUGUGGGUAUGAUGAGGUACGAGGAGAAGCGUUAUUAUUACCACUGAACCACCACUUCAUGAGAUUCAGUGCUGUUUCAACGUACAUCCGUUAAACUGAUAUUAAGGGAUUGUGUUGGCUCUGUAAAGCAAGAAAAAUACUUUUAUUGCCUCGAGUCUUGUAGACAAGAGCAGUAUCUCCACGCUUUGUGUUGUCUUGUAGGAGUGAUGAAGAUGAGAAAGAAGAUUUAGCUGUGUAUUGUAAAAGCUUCAGAAAAGGUUUAAGAGGGAGAGAUGGGGGGGAAAAAACAUUGCUAGAAUAAAAACCAGUGCAAUAUCUUUUUAUUUUUUAUUGUGGUAAAAGCAUGUUGUUGUCAAUGUUACCUUGCAACAGUAAUAAAGUUUUUUUUCAUACUCUA
ensembl:lncRNA